AAACAAAUAGAAAAGAAGGAAAGAAACAGAAUUGAAAAAUGAAACGGAGAAGGAGAAAGGAGAAAGAAAAGAAAAAGGGAGAAUUGGGGUUUUUAAGGUUCAAGCUUAAUUUGCUAGCAUCGUACCAGAAUUCUCGACUAAAAAGGGGAAAAAUAUAGUUGACGAGGAAUAGCUCGGAAUUCUUGGUUAAGUUAAAGUCAGAUCAUUGAAUCAACAUCCAAAGCUGAUCCUGAACUCAUUGUGGUGAUGAACAUUUAUUUUCGUAAUGGCAUGAACAUAGGAUGUCAUGUAUGUCAUUUUACAAAAUAAUUGUAAACAAUGUUAAUGAUGACAUUGGUUACUUUAUGCAUAAAUAUAUGUAUGUUAUAUUGUGAUUAAAGAAGAA